rnacentral:tRNA from 1 species
AGCGGGUUAGGGAAGCGAGGUCAAAUCCCACCGGGCUCAUAACCCGGAGAUCAUUGGUUCAAAUCCAAUACCCGCUA